GUCUUUGGGUAAUGACAUUACAAAACCUAAUGUCUUGGUGCCUAGUACCUCCUGACUUAAAUAAAGCCAAGGUUUUGGAACAGAGCGAUGCAAACUUGGUUUGACUGAAAGCAAGAUUUCUGUGUGCUUUUAUGGUGGUUUUACAACUCUUUUGAAUGGGAUCUUUCUCUGGGUUCCAGGCAUUAAGCUGUGUGGUUGACAUUCCUGAUGUGAGUGUGUGUGACUUACUUGAUCAGCUGAUUGCCCUCUUCUGUUUCUACAAUGGGCCAGUGCGUCAGAGCUACCAGUUGUACAGUAAACAGGAGUUGGCUCUACGAUGGGCUAGAUAUCUCUGUCACCUGCAGGGCGGCUCCACUGAGCUGCACCACAUCUUCAGCUGCUUGAGGACCAUUGACUCCACGCAUAUUGAUCCUCUGCUGCUGCUGAAGGCUGCUCUCAUUCUUCAGGCAUGUCAGCGAUGUCCUCUGGUCUUGGCAGGCUGUAUCCUCUACAGGG